CCAUCCUCCAAACGAAACCGUAUGCAAAACCUCAGCUACAAAACAGAUCAGUGGGCUGCCUGCCCGUGUGGGGCAUGGGCUGGGCCCCGAGCUCCCCCUCCAGCACCCAGUACUUCUUCCACAAGGCCCUGUGUGAGCUCAGUUUGAAACCCCAGGCCUUGGCAGGGGUCAGGUGGGCGGGAGCAGGGGGUGGACCUUGUAGCACUGGAGCUAAAGCAGCCAGAUAAGGUGGGCUAGUUCUUAAGACCUCUGGAGGGUGUGGCUAGUCUCUGAGACCUGGACAACUUCAUUCUCCACCAGGGCCUGGCCCCCAUCCCCAUUGAGCUGUCUCAUGCGCAGGUUAAUGGAGCCGUAGGUCUUCCUGGAGCCCUUGCCGGGGACGAAGGUCCUCCGGCGGUACAGCUCGCCCUUGCACAGGGAGACCAUGAGCAGCACCGACAAGAGCAUGCCGCCCACCGUGAGCAGCCCGAGGCCUGCGAUGAUGCACCUGUCCAGGGCCGGAGUUAAGAUGAGUCCAGCGAAGUGCCUAGAGUACCAAAUUCGUGGAGACGUUUCCUCUUUGGGGAACACACGCCAACCCCAGAGACAGCUUUGGUCUGAAUCGUGCAGGUUCCGGGA
rnacentral:lncRNA from 1 species